rnacentral:rRNA from 1 species
AGCAGCCGCGGUAAAUUCCAGCUCCAAUAGCGUAUAUUAAAGUUGUUGCAGUUAAAAAGCUCGUAGUUGAAUUUCGGGAUCAGAUUGUCGGUCGUGCCUCGGUACGUACUGGCAUUAUUGGUUCCUACCUUCUGAAGAACCGCGAUGUCAUUAAUUUGGUGUCGUGGGGAAUCAGGACUGUUACUUUGAAAAGAUUAGAGUGUUUAAAGCAGGCGCACGCUUGAAUACAUUAGCAUGGAAUAAUGAAAUAGGACGUUUGAUUCUAUUUUGUUGGUUUCUAGGAUUGACGUAAUGAUUAAUAGGGAUAGUUGGGGGCAUUAGUAUUCAAUUGUCAGAGGUGAAAUUCUUGGAUUUAUUGAAGACUAACUACUGCGAAAGCAUUUGCCAAGGAUGUUUUCAU